rnacentral:rRNA from 1 species
UACGUAGGGUGCAAGCGUUGUCCGGAAUUAUUGGGCGUAAAGAGCUCGUAGGCGGUCUGUCGCGUCGGCUGUGAAAACCCGGGGCUCAACCCCGGGCCUGCAGUCGAUACGGGCAGACUAGAGUGCGGUAGGGGAGACUGGAAUUCCUGGUGUAGCGGUGAAAUGCGCAGAUAUCAGGAAGAACACCCGUGGCUAAGGCGGCUCUCUAGUACGGUACUGACGCUGAGACGCGAAAGCGUGGGGAGCGAACAGG